AGAACGAACGCUGGCGGCAGGCCUCAAACAUGCAAGUCUAGGGGGUGUAGCAAUACAUCACCGGCGGACGGGUGCGUAACGCGUGGGAAUGUACCUAUUGGUUCGGAACAACUGAGGGAAACUUCAGCUAGUACCGAAUAAGCCCGCGAGGGGAAAGAUUUCUCGCCAAUAGAUCAGCCCGCGUCCGAUUAGCUAGUUGGUGGGGUUAUGGCCUACCAAGGCGACGAUCGGUAGCUGUUCUGAGAGGAAGAUCAGCCACACUGGGACUGAGACACGGCCCAGACUCCUACGGGAGGCAGCAGUUGGGAAUCUUGGACAAUGGGGGAAACCCUGAUCCAGCCAUGCCGCGUGAGUGAUGAAGGCCUUCGGGUUGUAAACUCUUUCGACGGGGACGAUAAUGACGGUACCCGUAGAAGAAGCUCCGGCUAACUUCGUGCCAGCAGCCGC
rnacentral:rRNA from 1 species